UACGUAGGGGGGCUAGCGUUGUCCGGAAUCAUUGGGCGUAAAGAGCGUGUAGGCGGCCCGGUAAGUCCGCUGUGAAAGUCCAGGGCUCAACCCUGGGAUGCCGGUGGAUACUGUCGGGCUCGAGUCCGGAAGAGGCGAGUGGAAUUCCUGGUGUAGCGGUGAAAUGCGCAGAUAUCAGGAAGAACACCAAUGGCGAAAGCAGCUCUCUGGGACGGUACUGACGCUGAGACGCGAAAGCGUGGGGAGCGAACAGG
rnacentral:rRNA from 1 species